UACGUAGGUGGCAAGCGUUGUCCGGAAUUAUUGGGCGUAAAGGGCGUGUAGGUGGUCAAACAAGUCAGGUGUGAAACCCCGGGGCUUAACUUCGGGCAUGCAUUUGAAACUGAAAGACUUGAGGGCAAGAGAGGAAAGUGGAAUUCCUAGUGUAGCGGUGAAAUGCGUAGAUAUUAGGAGGAACACCAGUGGCGAAGGCGACUUUCUGGAUUGGCCCUGACACUGAGGCGCGAAAGCGUGGGGAGCAAACAGG
rnacentral:rRNA from 1 species